rnacentral:rRNA from 1 species
UAAGAGCUCACCAAGGCGACGAUGCGUAGCCGACCUGAGAGGGUGAUCGGCCACACUGGGACUGAGACACGGCCCAGACUCCUACGGGAGGCAGCAGUAGGGAAUCUUCCGCAAUGGACGAAAGUCUGACGGAGCAACGCCGCGUGAACGAAGAAGGUUUUCGGAUCGUAAAGUUCUGUUGUUAGGGAAGAACAAGUACCGUUCGAAUAGGGCGGUACCUUGACGGUACCUAUCGAGGAAGCCCCGGCUAACUACGUGCCAGCAGCCGCGGUAAUACGUAGGGGGCAAGCGUUGUCCGGAAUUAUUGGGCGUAAAGCGCGCGCAGGCGGUUUCUUAAGUCUGAUGUGAAAUCUUGUGGCUCAACCACAAGCGGUCAUUGGAAACUGGGGAACUUGAGUACAGAAGAGGAGAGCGGAAUUCCACGUGUAGCGGUGAAAUGCGUAGAUAUGUGGAGGAACCCCAGUGGCGAAGGCGGCUCUCUGGUCUGUAACUGACGCUGAGGUGCGAAAGCGUGGGGAGCGAACAGGAUUAGAUACCCUGGUAGUCCACGCCGUAAACGAUGAGUGCUAGGUGUUAGGGGGUUUCCGCCCCUUAGUGCUG